rnacentral:rRNA from 1 species
UACGUAGGGUGCAAGCGUUGUCCGGAUUUAUUGGGCGUAAAGCGCGUGUAGGCGGCCAUACAGGUCAGCUGUGAAAACUCGAGGCUCAACCUCGAGACGUCGGUUGAAACCGUAUGGCUAGAGUCCGGAAGAGGAGAGUGGAAUUCCCGGUGUAGCGGUGAAAUGCGCAGAUAUCGGGAAGAACACCCGUGGCGAAGGCGGCUCUCUGGGACGGUACUGACGCUGAGACGCGAAAGCGUGGGGAGCGAACAGG